rnacentral:rRNA from 1 species
UCGUCGGCGGGAAGCUUGCCUCCUGGGUGACGAGCGGCGGACGGGUGAGUAAUGUCUGGGAAACUGCCUGAUGGAGGGGGAUAACUACUGGAAACGGUAGCUAAUACCGCAUAACGUCGCAAGACCAAAGAGGGGGACCUUCGGGCCUCUUGCCAUCAGAUGUGCCCAGAUGGGAUUAGCUAGUAGGUGGGGUAAUGGCUCACCUAGGCGACGAUCCCUAGCUGGUCUGAGAGGAUGACCAGCCACACUGGAACUGAGACACGGUCCAGACUCCUACGGGAGGCAGCAGUGGGGAAUAUUGCACAAUGGGCGCAAGCCUGAUGCAGCCAUGCCGCGUGUGUGAAGAAGGCCUUCGGGUUGUAAAGCACUUUCAGCGAGGAGGAAGGUGGUGAACUUAAUACGUUCAUCAAUUGACGUUACUCGCAGAAGAAGCACCGGCUAACUCCGUGCCAGCAGCCGCGGUAAUACGGAGGGUGCAAGCGUUAAUCGGAAUUACUGGGCGUAAAGCGCACGCAGGCGGUUUGUUAAGUCAGAUGUGAAAUCCCCGGGGCUCAACCUGGGAACUGCAUUUGAAACUGGCAAGCUAGAGUCUCGUAAGAGGGGGGUAGAAUUCCAGGUGUAGCGGUGAAAUGCGUAAAGAUCUGGAGGAAUACCGGUGGCGAAGGGGGGCCCCCAGG